ACCUUUGUCGGGAGUAAAGGUGGCUGCUCCGAGUACAUCGGCGCCAGCCUGAAAAGGGAAUCCGGUGCGAAUCCGGAACAGUCUCCGCUGCUGUAACCCCAGAUCCACUCGGCCGACACGACUAGGCCACUGCUUCCGCACGGAAGCGGGAAGGCCGUCGGCAGAGGGGGAAGUCAGAAGACCUGCCUUUGCCACAGCCCGUUA
rnacentral:ncRNA from 2 species